rnacentral:rRNA from 1 species
UACGGAGGAUCCAAGCGUUAUCCGGAUUUUAUUGGGUUUAAAGGGUGCGUAGGCGGCUUUAUUUAAGUCAGGGGUGAAAGACGGUGGCUCAACCAUCGCAGUGCCUUUUGAUACUGAUGAGCUUUGAAUACACUUGAGGUAGGCGGAAUGUGACAAGUAGCGGUGAAAUGCAUAGAUAUGUCACAGAACACCAAUUGCGAAGGCAGCUUACUAAGGUGCAAUUGACGCUGAGGCACGAAAGCGUGGGGAUCAAAACAGG